GAUGAACGCUGGCGGCGUGCCUAAUACAUGCAAGUCGAGCGAACGGACGAGAAGCUUGCUUUUCUGAUGUUAGCGGCGGACGGGUGAGUAACACGUGGAUAACCUACCUAUAAGACUGGGAUAACUUCGGGAAACCGGAGCUAAUACCGGAUAAUAUUUUGAACCGCAUGGUUCAAAAGUGAAAGACGGUCUUGCUGUCACUUAUAGAUGGAUCCGCGCUGCAUUAGCUAGUUGGUAAGGUAACGGCUUACCAAGGCAACGAUGCAUAGCCGACCUGAGAGGGGGAUGGGCCACACUGGAACUGAGCAACGGUCCAGACCCCUAGGGGAGGCAGCAGUAGGGAAUCUUCCGAAAGGGGCGAAAGCCUGAGGGGGCAACGCCGGGGGAGGGAUGAAGGGCUUGGGAUCGUAAAACUUUGUUAUUAGGGAAAAAAAUAUGUGUAAGUAACUGGGCAAAUCUGGAGGGGACAAAACCAAAAAGCCAGGGAUAAAUACGG
rnacentral:rRNA from 1 species